GGUUCUCCCCGAAAGCUAUUUAGGUAGCGCCUCGUGAAUUCAUCUCCGGGGGUAGAGCACUGUUUCGGCAAGGGGGUCAUCCCGACUUACCAACCCGAUGCAAACUGCGAAUACCGGAGAAUGUUAUUACGGGAGACACACGGCGGGUGCUAACGUCCGUCGUGAAGAGGGAAACAACCCAGACCGCCAGCUAAGGUCCCAAAGUCAUGGUUAAGUGGGAAACGAUGUGGGAAGGCCCAGACAGCCAGGAUGUUG
rnacentral:rRNA from 1 species